GCGUCUGUAGCUCAUUUGGAUAGAGCAGCAGCCUCCGACGCUGCGUGCGGUGGGUUCGAAUCCCGUCAGGCGCACCA
rnacentral:tRNA from 2 species